AUUGAACGCUGGCGGCAUGCCUUACACAUGCAAGUCGAACGGUAACAGGUCUUCGGAUGCUGACGAGUGGCGAACGGGUGAGUAAUACGUCGGAACGUGCCCGAUCGUGGGGGAUAACGAAGCGAAAGCUUUGCUAAUACCGCAUAAGAUCUAAGGAUGAAAGCAGGGGACCACAAGGCCUUGCGCGAACGGAGCGGCCGAUGGCAGAUUAGGUAGUUGGUGGGAUAAAAGCUUACCAAGCCGACGAUCUGUAGCUGGUCUGAGAGGACGACCGGCCACACUGGGACUGAGACACGGCCCAGACUCCUACGGGAGGCAGCAGUGGGGAAUUUUGGACAAUGGGCGAAAGCCUGAUCCAGCCAUGCCGCGCAGGAUGAAGGCCUUCGGGUUGUAAACUGCUUUUGUACGGAACGAAAAGGUCUCUCUUAAUACGGGGGACUCAUGACGGUACCGUAAGAAUAAGCACCGGCUAACUACGUGCCAGCCGCCGCAGUAA
rnacentral:rRNA from 1 species